CCGUCUGGCGUGCUGCGUCGGAACGCGCGUGCCAGUCGGGCGUGGCCGACCCGGCAACAUCGACGCUAUUGCGGCGUCUCGCUGCGUCCUGUUGUGCCGCGCUGCGCGUGCUCGUCUCGACGGGGUGCGGCGCUCGAAAGCCCCCCUCUCCGUGUGGUACGCCCUGCGCGCUCAUUGUGCCUCCCGGUGACGGCGAUGGUGAUGAUGAUGUGUGGCGGCGAUGACUUCCUCUGGUCGUGGUCUGUUGUUGGUGCCUGCUUGUUUGCUGGUGCCGCCGCCUUUGACAACAACGAUUGCCCGUCCCUUUUGCGGAUGGCCUUGCCGUGCGCACCAAGCACACACCAAAAAAAAAAGAAGAUCUAGGGAAAAGAGAGGUGCUCGCUAUCCUUGGCGUCCUUUUCCCCCUAAUCGGACCAGGAUCGCGCCUGUCGUCGUCGUCGCCACCACGAACAAUACGCGCAGCGCGUGGCUGUCUUUUUCAGGCGUCCCUUUUGCUAGUGUCCGCUGCUCCUUUUUUCCCUCGCCCCGUGUGCGCGGCCGUGGCGGUUCCUUCUUUUCCUCGCCUCGCGCGCCUUUUACCUCUUGGUACGCCACGCACCGACACCACCCCGUCCAGCACAGCCACGGCGCCGCCGGCCACUUUUUUUCCCACCUGCGGCGACCGCAGUCGGCAGGCCACGCUUUCGGUGCGCCGCUUCCUGGCCUCUUUUUUCUCACAUUCUUUUUUCUCUCUCUCUCUCUCAUUGGCGGGGUCCACUCGCGCAUGGCCAGACGCGCUGCGUGCGUGGAUGCUCUCGGCUCUUUCUCCCUUUUUUUUAAUCAGAAAAAAGACCCGCUCGCGUGGCGCGCGAGAUACGAAAAGAAAAAGGAAAAAAAACGCGACGGCGGCGCAGAACCAACAGCCAACACGUGCCUGUUUGCCCCAUCUCUUGGCCACGCCGCCUCUCCUUUCGACGUGCCUUUUUUGCUGUGUGCGGGCGCGUGCGGGACGAACAUAAUCCCCCCCCCCCAAGCCGCACGAUCGGCCACCAGGGCGAACCGUUCGCCCGCCCAACGCCAGCGUGGAUCUUUUCUCUUCCUGCCUUGUUUUUAUGGCAUUGACGUAUUUUUUUUCUCUCGCACUCGCCGAUUGGGCAUGGUAAGAAAAAGGCCCGGCGCACGCGGGCAUGCCACCGUGCAUUUUUUUCUGGGUUUGUUGCCGCAGGGCGCGCCCAACAAGGAUCGGGAGAAAAAAGAUAGAGGUGUUUCCGGGCCUCGUCACGCCAGGACCGAGCCUGUUUUUUUCCCGUGCGCCGCGGCCUCGAGGCCGCUAUGUGUGUCUCUCUUUCUUUUCUUGCUGGCAGCGACGCACGGAG
rnacentral:lncRNA from 1 species